GGCGGAGUAGCUCAGGUUGGUAGAGCAAGCGGUUCAUACCCGCUGCGUCGGGGGUUCAAGUCCCUCCUCCGCUACCA
rnacentral:tRNA from 2 species